CCGGCCACCGCCCACACCACCCCAUCCACGCCGGAGGUCGGAUCCUCUGUCCCGAAAACAUGUCUGUCCCGGUGUCCCACUUGCUAAACGACAAAAUUUUAAACAGUGUCUUAAAAAAUAUAGUUUUCCCGUGACUAACUUUACCCUUCUUUCCCGUGCUUUUCCUGUGCCCUAAAAGCCUUUGGCAUCGGCGCUCCCAGCAGCAUCUUCGACGUGCUCCGUCGCAGCUCCGGCUUCCCCUCCCUUCGUCGACGGCAACUGCUCCGACUUCCCCUCCUAAAAAGCCUUCGGCAUCGACGACUCCCAGCAGCCAUCUUUGGCGUGGUCUGCCGCAACUCCGGCUUCCCUUCCCUUCGUCGACGAAAGCAGCUCCGGCUUCCCCUCCCUUCGUCGGCGGCAGCAUCUCCGGCUUCCUCUCCCUUCGUCGACUCCAGCAGGUUGCUAUUGAAUGGCAUCAUCAAGUAACAGCAGCAUCAACCAUACCAAAUUUGAAACUAUACGAUGCAGGGAUUGUGGACUAAGAGCAUUGGUGCUAGUCUCUAGAUCAAUCAAGAACCCAGGAAGAUUAUAUUAUGGAUGUAAGCAGCAUGGAUGGUUAAAGUGGGUAAGGUCUGAUACUGGACUAAAUGAAGACACCAGUGACAUAUAUUGUAGGAUGUUACCAAGAGUGGAGUCAAGGUUAGGAAGUGAAUAUAUUACUUAUCCUAGACAUAAUAUGGGAAAUUGUAAUAUACCGCAUAUGGUCUGGAUAUUAGUGAUAGUAAACUUAAUUCUUUUGGCUGUAUAUUUGUUUUGUUUGUUAGUUGGUCUGGUUAAGUAAUGCUAGUGUUGUAAUGUGAUAAAGAAAUAUAAUUAUGAAUGAUGUCGACAUUUGGUUUUAUUUUGUUUAUGGAUGGAUAUUAAUUCUGUAUUA